rnacentral:tRNA from 1 species
UCCCUGGUGGCUGAGUGGUAAAGAAUCUGCCUGCAAUGUAGGAGACCUGGGUUUGAUCCCUUGGUUGGGAA